rnacentral:lncRNA from 1 species
GAGACAGCGUCUCUCACUGUCACCUAGGCUGGAGUGCAGUAGCAUGAUCAUAGCUCACUGCAGCCUUGGACUUCUGGGCUCAAGCUGUUCUCCCCUCUCAGCCUCUCAAGUAGCUAGGUCUGUGAGCAAAUGCUACCACGCCCAGGCCAUGAGAAAAGAGACCUAAGAAAUGAUGCCCAUCCAGAAGAGUGAAGACUUCCUGAAAAUGUUCUUUUAACCUAAGAUGUAGGUUAAGAGGAGUGAAAAAAUGUUCUGUUUCUGACUGAUGAUGGAGCAACAAAGGAACUCCUAAAGAAGAAAUCAUCCAUUCAGUGAGAGCAAAUGAACACUCCAACAGACUGAAACAAAGCAUCUUUACAGGAGAUGUGAAUGCGAGAAAGCAAAGAGAACUACAGUCAGGGUCUCCGCUGGCAUGGCCCAAGCCCACCGUGGCAUGAUCCAGAGAGACGAGUCAGCAGAGCACUAUGGGCAGCUCCCAUACUCUUCGCAGAUCAACAAGCCAGCAUAUAACCCAGGGAGAUAGAUAAUAGUGAUGCUGUGCUCUGUAGAGGGUAGUGGCAACAGUGGGAUUUCUUCUGGAAUAAAUCUGUAGUGAGCCAGAUGUUUCUGCUGACUAUAUUACUUCUGACAGUGUAUAAUCCAAAAUUGUUUCCUUGGCCUUCCAAAAAGUUUUAUAAGCUCCCUAACGGCUGCAAUAAAUCCCUUUCUUCUUAAACUAGCUAGAGUGGAUUUUUGUUCUCUACAAAACAGAUCCUGCCACUAAGAACCCCACUAGUAUUUGUUGCCAUGAUUAGGGAAUAAGUUAAACCACUGUAAGGGGGGAAAAGCAGCUCCAAGUACAAGGGCUUAAAUGUGUUAGAAGCUUCUUUCUCAUAUCACAAUUCAAGAUGAAUACCUGGGCCAUGCUCCAUA